rnacentral:rRNA from 1 species
UGGGGAAUCUUGGACAAUGGGGGCAAGCCUGAUCCAGCAACGCCGCGUGGAGGACGAAGGCCUUAGGGUCGUAAACUCCUGUCAGUAGGGACGAAAAAGUAGGGUCGAACAGGCCCUGCCAUUGACGGUACCUGCAGAGGAAGCCCCGGCUAACUCCGUGCCAGCAGCCGCGGUAAUACGGAGGGGGCAAGCGUUAUUCGGAUUUACUGGGCGUAAAGGGCGUGUAGGCGGCUUGAUAGGUCAAAGGUGAAAGCCCUCGGCUCAACCGAGGAACUGCCUUUGAAACCAUCUAGCUCGAGGCCGGGAGGGGGUAGCGGAAUUCCUGGUGUAGCGGUGAAAUGCGUAGAUAUCAGGAGGAACACCAGUGGCGAAGGCGGCUACCUGGACCGGUUCUGACGCUGAGGCGCGAAAGCGUGGGGAGCAAACAGGAUUAGAUACCCUGGUAGUCCACGCUGUAAACGAUGGGUGCUCGGUGUUGCGGGUGUUGACCCCUGCAUGCCUUAGCUAACGCGUUAAGCA